rnacentral:RNase_P_RNA from 1 species
GCACUGCCACGGUCUGUCGCUGGUGCCUCAAUGGCACGAGAGGAAAGUCCGGGCAGCACAGGGCGCCCCACUUCUGAAAGUGGAAGCUAUUGGUGACAGUAGGUGAGGACAGAAGAGAAUAACCGCCGUAAGGUAAGGGUGAGAAGGUGGUGUAAGAGACCACCAGCCGGUGGGUGAUCAUCGGGCUGUGUCCGCUGGGGGCUGCAAGUUCAUGUAAACCGUCGUCUGAGGGUUGCCCGCCCGACAGCUCCGGCUACGAUGGAGGGUAGAACGCUUGAGCCAUGGGGUGACCUAUGGACUAGAUAAAUGACAGGCACCGCGCAAGCGGUACAGAACCCGGCUUACAGGGGCAGUGCUUUC